ACACUAGCUUCACUAUGAUUCCCCUGAUAAAGGCAUCCUGCAAAAAGUUAGCAGAGCUGCUGCCAUGAUGUCCUAAACGAGGCACUUUGAGGCCUGAGAAGGUGGGAGGGGAGGAAAGAUCACAAAGCCAGAGGAUGAAGAGCCUGGAGCUUUAGAAGGAUGGUGCCCUUCUCCUCAUCUGUCUCACUCUUUUAAAAUGGCUAAUGCCCCAGAUAAAGAGUGCAGAUCACAUGUGACUUAUAACAUGAAUACACAGCACUGUAUAAACAGCCUCAGGAAAAGGCAGCCCUGGUCAUUCUGCUUAUGAGAGUCCCAACCAAGCUGAGUCUUUUUCCAUACAAUCUUGGAAUGGGAAAAUAUCAUCACCCCUCAUCCUUAAGGGUUUUCUUCAAUGG
rnacentral:lncRNA from 1 species